GAGAUGAUGUGCAGUUCAUGUUAGAUUUGCUAUUUCUACAGUUACAGUGAAGUAGAAGAGUCUCGUGUUAUGGGGCAGCAGUUUAAGAAGAAGGACGGAGAAAUGUGUACCAUGUUGAAGUAGCGGCUGGCCCUCCUGACAAUUCUAGAAUCCUCCAUCUCAAUCUCUGGUCUGAUCUGCUGUGCCUUUGCCAAGUGAUCACGAGUUUAUUCCAAUGGUGACCCCUGCGUCUCCACCGUCUGUUACAUCAACUCCAACUGCCUGUGAUAUAAGAAAAGAUCACAAGACACCCUGAAAUGGAAUUGUGAUUGGAGUGAGACGGCCACAAUCAUGUAUGCUGGGGUGUGCAGAGGGGGUCUGUGUGGGCUUUAGCUUGGGACCCCCAGAGGUUUAUUAUCUCCAGUAUCCUUGAAGGCUGCAAGUUUGUCUUUGUCCCCAGCAAUUGGAC